GCUGGAUGUGGUGGUGUAUUUCUGUAAUCCCAGGUACUUGGGAAGCUGGGGCAGGAGCAUCACAAGUUUGAGGCUAGCCUAGGCAACUUAGUGAGACCCUGUCUCAA
rnacentral:sRNA from 1 species